AACUUAGCAUGUUGUUGAAGUGCUGCACGCGUUGGUUUUUGCUGAGUCUGCUGUGGGAACGGUGAGCUGGGGCAGAAAGGCAAGGUAGAAAUCUGCACAUAGUAACCACUAUCUCCCAUCAGGCAGAGCCUUGAUGAGUUAAUCCUUCCCUCCUCAUCUUGAAGUUAGGCAAGACCGGUGAAUCAUUUCAACCGCUCGCUCCUGCCCGAAGGUCUCAUCUCCAGUUGUGUGGUUCCACCCCUUCYUGCUUUGUUGCUCCUCAGGCCCUUUGAGCAGAUUUUACUAGACAACCUUGCAAAAAAAAAAGCUUCCUUUGCCUCCUCCUUGCCUGGGAAGUUCAGCCGUGACGGAUUUCUGAGAUAGUUUUAUCUGAUGAACGAGAUACUUGAGCAAGAAGCUGCUUCUGAGAAUGAUCCAUUUAGUUACGACACCAAAUGGAGCUCAGGUCACCUUGCCGAAGUUUCCUCUUGCRUCUGCAUCUCUUUACAUCUGGUCGACAUGUAAAGCCAGAUGUGGGGCACCUAACUGCUCUUUAGCCAGAUGUUCUUCUGCUAAAAUCUGCUGA
rnacentral:lncRNA from 1 species